ensembl:lncRNA
UGAUGAAGAUGACGAUGAUGAUGAUGAAGAAGAAGAAAACCCAGAUUUGGAAAAACUGACAUCGCGUUCGCCGCGCCCGCCGCCGAUCUCGUUGCGGAAAUGAGGACAACUCAACAACAACUCAUUGCUGGUGUCAUCACCUAAAUCCUGCUCCAAAUUUUCUUUGGAAUUUAAAUUUUCCAAACUGGAGAAAAUUUUGGGAUCGGAACCGGCGGAAGCGGCCGAAGCUCCCGUGGUCGUGUUGCGCCGUUGGGUUCCCGUCGAGGAUCCGACGGAAACGGCUUCGAAAAAAAUGCUCUGAACGUCGAAAUGAGCGAAACUUUUGCGCCAAAUCCAAGAUUUUGGAGCUUCUGGAAGUUUGGGAUCUUCGGGAUCUUUGGGAUUGAGGAGUUUUUUGAAGAUGGAAUCGUCGGGUUUUAAACGGCGCCGGGGUUUUUCUUUCGGAGCUUGGGGUUGAUCCGAAUUUGGAUCGGGAUUUUGAUUGGAAUUUUGGGAAUUUUGGGGUUUUUUGGUUCGGAAUUCGUUGAGGAUUUCAUAAAAACUCUGCUCUGGGAUUCCUUGGAUGUCGAUGGAGGAGGUGCUGCCGUACUCGCGGAACAAUCCGGCGGAAUUCCCGGAAUUCCCGCGGAUUUCCGGGAUUUCUUCGGGAUCGCAUUCGCUCAAAGUGACUUCGCUGCUGCUCCUUUGUCUCAAAGGAAUUCCCAAAAAUCCUUCUUGGAAUUCCAGAUCUUUCCAAUGAGGGACCAAGCGGCGAUGGAAGGGUUUGAAUGGAGCUUGGGAAGGUUGGGAAUUGCGGGAAAUUCCGGAAUAUUCUUUGGAGCGCGGGGGCCACUCGGCCACGCGGGCGCGGACGCCCAUCUUGGGCACCGGGGGGAUCUCGGAGCGUUGGGAGGUCAUGGUCACCCAAAAGGGAAUUGGGGAGUUUGGAAGUUCUGGAGAUCCUGGAGGUCCAGAAGGUUCUGGAGGUCCAAGAGGUCCAGGAGGUCUGGGAGGUCCAGGAGGUCUGGAAGGUUCAGGAGGUCCUGGAAGUCCUGGAGGUUCAGGAGGUCCAAGAGGUCCAGGAGGUUCUGGAGGUUCUGGAGGUUCAGGAGGUCCAAGAGGUCCAGGAGGUUCUGGAGGUCUGGGAGGUCCUGGAGGUCCAGAAGGUUCAGAAGAUCCAGAAGGUCAAGGAGGUCCUGGAGGUCCUGGAGGUUCAGAAGAUCCAGAAGGGUCAAGGAGGUUCAGGAGGUUCAGAAGGUCCAGGCGGUCAGGGAGGUUCAGAAGAUCCAGAAGGGUCAAGGAGGUCAAGGAGGUUCAGGAGGUUCAGAAGAUGCAGAAGGUCAAGGAGGUCCUGGAGGUCCUGGACGUUCAGAAGGUCCAGGAGGUUCAGAAGGUCCAGGAGGUUCAGAAGGUCCAGGAGGUCAGGGAGGUUCAGAAGGUUCAGGAGAUCCAGAAGAUCCAGGAGGUUCAGGAGGUCCAGGAGGUCAGGGAGGUUCAGAAGCUCCAGGAGAUGCUGAAGGUUCAGGAGAUCCAGAAGAUCCAGAAGGUCCAGAAAGUCCAGAAGAUCCAGAAGGUUCAGAAGAUCCAGGAGGUCCAGGAGGUCCUGGAGGUUCAGAAGGUCAAGGAGGUCCAGAAGCUCCAGAAGCUCCAGAAGGUCAGGGAGGUUCAGAAGGUUCAGGAGAUGCAGAAGGUGCAGGAGCUCAGGGAGGUUCAGGAGAUCCCCAGGGCCCGGAGCUCCAGGAGCUCAUGGCAGGAAGCGGCGGCGGCGGCGCAUGCUGGGAGGGCUGGGGGGAAAAAGGACAAAAAUUCAGGAUUUUAUCCCAAAAAUUGAGGGAAUUUAUCCCAAAAAUUGAGGGAAUUUUAGCCAAAAAUUUCAGGAUUUUAUCCAAAAAUUGAGGGAAUUUUAUCAAAAAAA